UGCUUAGAUUCUUUCUAGAGCCAGAUCUUUGGGAACAAACAAACAAACAAACAUAAGCACCAUAAUGACCACAGUCCUCUUGAUGUUUCAUCCACCACUGGGAUAACUCCUGGCACAAUUCUUGCCCCUGGCAGUUCCAAUACAAGUGAAUCUACAGGUUGUCAGGAAACUCUUCAAGGAUCUUUACAUAAUUAGAUGCCUCAUUUGGUGCAAUUCUAUCCAUGAAUACUAUCAUAUCUGUUUCAUGGCCCUUCAGUAUUUUCCAAGUAUGUCCUCUCUGUUUUUCUCUCUCUCAGAGACCACAACAUACAUUGGAGAAAGUGGGACCACAAGAGGUGGAUUAGCCACAGCUACCACUGGGGCAUUCUCUGGAAAGACUCUGGAACCUGGGAAUGACAACACAGCAAGUCCACAAGCACACAGGGAAUGCUACACCAUGGCUGCUCAAGUGAUAGGCUCCUAGGGUUAUAUAACCUUGUAUUUCCCAUACUGAAGACUUCAUGCUUGCUUUCUUUUCUCUCAGAGGCCACAGGUUCCACAGGAGGGAUCAGGGCCACCAGAACAGAAGCUCCAGGAGGUAAGGUUCACGAGUCCCAGCCCUCAGGGUUCUCCUAAUUUUCCUGUUGUGCUGAGGUGAACACAUAAAUGAGAAUGGGGGCCAAAGAAAGGGGGUUACUUCUUGCCUGGAACCACAACAUGUAUUCUGACCAUCCUGAGUAUUCCUGCUAAAGAAUUUGAGACACUGGGUUAUGUAUGUCAGGCAUUGCUCCACGGCCUGUGUGACAGUGUUAGUUGUCUGGACACCUGGUUGAGGCCCACUGACCUGCAGCAGUCUUCUCGGAACCCUGAUUGUCCCCACUUUGCUCAUGAUGAUUCUGCAAAGUACUAUCACCUGCUGCCAUCUCUCAAACGUACUUAUUACACUUCCUGUUUACUUCCUGUGUUUCCUCUCCCACAAAUGUAAAUCACAUGAGG
rnacentral:lncRNA from 1 species